UACGGGGGGGGCAAGCGUUGUUCGGAAUUACUGGGCGUAAAGGGCUCGUAGGCGGCCAACUAAGUCGGAUGUGAAAUCCCCAAGCUUAACUUGGGAGCUGCAUCCGAUACUGGAUGGCUUGAAUCCGGGAGAGGGAUGCAGAAUUCCAGGUGUAGCGGUGAAAUGCGUAGAUAUCUGGAGGAAUACCGGUGGCGAAGGCGGCAUCCUGGACCGGCAUUGACGCUGAGGAGCGAAAGCUAGGGGAGCAAACGGG
rnacentral:rRNA from 1 species